rnacentral:lncRNA from 1 species
CCCUAUUAUUGGAAAUUUAGAUUGCAUGCCUAGAAAUCCACUUGCUGAGUGAAAAGGGAUGCGUGCUUUUGAAGAGACCCACACUUUAGUACACUGACCUCUUGGCGUGUGUCCAGGGCAGAGAGGAAACGGACCAGGGUGAGAAACCGACCUAGGAGCUUGCUGUUGGAGUUGGGCUUGGCCAUGUCCUGGCUGCUCCCCUCACUAGGCUGUGGCCCUGGACCAGUGGCAGCACAAAGAGGGGGAACUCCAGCUCUGGAGAGCCAUCUAUCUGCAGGGUUUUCA